rnacentral:rRNA from 1 species
CAGCCGCCGCGGUAAUACGUAGGUGGCAAGCGUUAUCCGGAAUUAUUGGGCGUAAAGCGCGCGUAGGCGGUUUUUUAAGUCUGAUGUGAAAGCCCACGGCUCAACCGUGGAGGGUCAUUGGAAACUGGAAAACUUGAGUGCAGAAGAGGAAAGUGGAAUUCCAUGUGUAGCGGUGAAAUGCGCAGAGAUAUGGAGGAACACCAGUGGCGAAGGCGGCUUUCUGGUCUGCAACUGACGCUGAUGUGCGAAAGCGUGGGGAUCAAACAGGAUUAGAUACCCCUGUAGUCCCUGUCUCUUAUAC